rnacentral:rRNA from 1 species
UACCACGUGAACGAUGAAGGUCUUCUGAUUGUAAAGUUCUUUUACUUAGGAAAAAAAGCUUGACAGGAAAUGGUUAAGCCUUGAUCGUACUAGGUGAAUAAGUGACAGCUAACUAUGUGCCAGCAGCUGCGGUAACACAUAGGUCACAAGCAUUAUCCGGAUUUAUUGGGCGUAAAGGAAGCGUAGGCGGACAGUCUGAUCCAUUGUUAAAUGCACUUGCUCAACAAGUGUAUGCAGUGGAGAUCUCCUGUCUAGAAUUAAUUAGGAGAAACUGGAAUUCAAUGUGUAGUGGUGGAAUACGUAGAUAUAUUGAGGAACACCAAAGGCGAAAGCAAGUUUCUAGGAUAUAAUUGACGCUGAGGCUUGAAAGCGUGGGGAGCAAAUGGGAUUAGAUACCCCAGUAGUCCACGCCGUAAACGAUGGGUAUUUGGUAUUUGGGCUGGACCUGAGUGCCGGAGCUAACGCGUUAAAUGCCCCGCCUGGGUAGUAUAUAUGCAAAUAUGAAACUCAAAGAAAUUGACGGGGAUCUGAACAAGUGGUGGAGCAUGUUGCUUAAUUCGAUAAUACACGAAAAACCUUACCAAGGCUUGUAAUCUUCUGCAAAAGUGUAGAAAUACAGUGGAGUAUAUCAGAAUGACAGGUGGUGCAUGGCUGUCGUCAGCUCGUGUCUUGAGAUGUUUGGUUAAGUCCCGUAACGAGCGCAACCCCUCUCAUUAGUUAAUUAGUUCUAAUGUGACUGAAUCGUAAGAUAUAGGAAGGAUGGGGCCAAGUCAAGUCAUCAUGCCCCUUAUGCCUUGGGCUGCAAACGUGCUACAAUGGUAGGUACAAUGUGUUGCAACUUAGCGAUAAUGAGCU